rnacentral:rRNA from 1 species
CCUACGGGAGGCAGCAGUGGGGAAUAUUGGGCAAUGGAGGAAACUCUGACCCAGCAACGCCGCGUGAAUGAUGAAGGUCUUCGGAUUGUAAAGUUCUUUUCUAAGGGAAGAAGAAAGUGACGGUACCUUAGGAAUAAGCCUCGGCUAACUACGUGCCAGCAGCCGCGGUAAUACGUAGGAGGCGGGCGUUAAGCGGAAUGACUGGGCGUAAAGGGUGCGUAGGUGGUUUGGCAAGUUAGUAGCGAAACUCCAAGGCUCAACCUUGGAACUGCAACUAAAACUGUUGGUCUUGAGUGCGGGAGGGGUAAGCGGAAUUCCUGGUGUAGCGGUGGAAUGCGUAGAUAUUAGGAGGAACACCGGUGGCGAAGGCGGGUUGCUAGACUGUAACUGACGCUGAGGCACGAAAGCGUGGGGAGCGAACAGGAUUAGAUACCCCGGUAGUC